CACCGCCACGGUAAUACGGAGGGAGCUAGCGUUGUUCGGAAUUACUGGGCGUAAAGCGCGCGUAGGCGGUUACUCAAGUCAGAGGUGAAAGCCCGGGGCUCAACCCCGGAACUGCCUUUGAAACUAGGUGACUAGAAUCUUGGAGAGGUCAGUGGAAUUCCGAGUGUAGAGGUGAAAUUCGUAGAUAUUCGGAAGAACACAGUGGCGAAGGCGACUGACUGGACAAGUAUUGACGCUGAGGUGCGAAAGCGUGGGGAGCAAACAGGAUUAGAUACCCGUGUAGUCCCUGUCUCUUAUACAC
rnacentral:rRNA from 1 species